rnacentral:rRNA from 1 species
UCAACGGAGAGUUUGAUCCUGGCUCAGGACGAACGCUGGCGGCGUGCUUAACACAUGCAAGUCGAGCGGUAAGGCCCUUCGGGGUACACGAGCGGCGAACGGGUGAGUAACACGUGGGUGAUCUGCCUCGCACUCUGGGAUAAGCCUGGGAAACUGGGUCUAAUACCGGAUAUGACCACGGAUCGCAUGGUUUGUGGUGGAAAGAUUUAUCGGUGCGAGAUGGGCCCGCGGCCUAUCAGCUUGUUGGUGGGGUAAUGGCCUACCAAGGCGACG